GUGAUGAUGACUCUUACAAAGUGUUAGAUUUAACUGAGUAUGCAAGAAGACACAACAGGUGAAAUCGAGUAUUUGGCCACAGUUCUGGUCCUAUGGUAGAAAAACACUCAGUAGCUACCCAGAUUAUAAAUGGGUGGUAUGACUGGCUGGUGUGCAGGAUUUCUGUUCCAGAAGGGUGGAAAACUUAUAGCAAUUGCAGUGGGAGGACGCUUUCUUCUCCUUCAGAUCCCUAGUCACAGUAGCUUUGUGCGCAUUGACUGGAAGAGUUGAGAAAGAUAUGAACAAAGCAAAAAGAUUAAGAAAUGAGCAAAUAAAGCAGCACCUGAAAACAACAAAAUGAUUGAAGAACCAACAGAAUUUAUCAAACAGAACGUAGAGAUAUCCAGUGGAUUUGUGGGAGAGUUUUUGAUAGGCCUUGCAUCUUACAGACGUGAAUGUCCUACCCUAAUAGUGGAUCCAACUUUGAGAAGGGAUAUGGAGGCAACAGGGUGAUCUCUCAAUGGUACAUAGCACCAGAAUCUCCAUAAAAAGGAGGAACAACUAGCUGGCCAACACCAGAUUCAUAACUUAGCAUUUUUCCUUCUGAAUUUUAGCAAACUAGUAUCUGCUAUGAAACGACCUAUGUGGUAUGUGAAUAAUAGUAUUGUGGAGCAAAACAUAGAUUUUGUCAAUUUUUAAAUAUUUAAAUAUGUUUAGAAACUAGCUUGUAAGAUAUCACCAUUGGAUAUACAUAUGGAGAGAGAAAAAAUUGGUUGAAUUUAUUGGCCAAUAAGAUAUACUCUUUUUAUUUAAAUAAGGUGUUUUUCAUUGUGCUUUAGUUACACUAUAGUAUCAAUAAUUAAAAACUUGUC
rnacentral:lncRNA from 1 species